GGGGCUAUAGCUCAGUUGGUAGAGCAUCUCGUUUACACCGAGAAAGUCUACGGUUCGAGUCCGUAUAGCCCCA
rnacentral:tRNA from 1 species